UGCCACAGCCAUAUCACCCUGCCAAGACCAGUUACUCACUGAGCCUGGUCAGUACCUGGAUGGGAGACCACAUGGGAAAACUAGGUUGCUGUUGGAA
rnacentral:rRNA from 1 species